rnacentral:lncRNA from 1 species
AGUUUGUCCCCUGGAUAAUGGCAAGGAUGAAAGAUAUAGAAGGUAUGUAGAACUAAUUUGAAAGUUCUUGUUCCCAAUCCUGACAAUCCUUGGGUGUGAUGCAUUUUUCUUUCUCUUAACCACAGGUGAGCCUGCCACCCCACAUCUCCAGGUGGAGGCCUGGCCAGAAGGAGGCCUAAAAUCUCAAAAUUCAUUUUGGUUCAGCCAUCUGGAUUUGCUUUUUCAAUUUACAUGACUAAAAUCAUGAAGACACUGACUACAUCACUGAGCACACUGCUCCCUCAGUUCUCCUAUGGUUGUCCUCUUGGGCCAAAAAUUUCCAAGUAAUCCAGACAGUGAGCCUCCACUGAGGACAAGGAAGAUCUUCAAAGCCAUCAGAUAGCCAAAGGAGUCAGA